rnacentral:rRNA from 1 species
GACGAACGCUGGCGGCGUGCCUAACACAUGCAAGUCGAGCGAUGAAGCUUCUUCGGAAGUGGAUUAGCGGCGGACGGGUGAGUAACACGUGGGCAACCUGCCUCAUAGAGAGGGAUAGCCUUUCGAAAGGAAGAUUAAUACCUCAUAAGAUUGUAGUUUCGCAUGAAACGGCAAUAAAAGGAGCAAUCCGCUAUGAGAUGGGCCCGCGUCGCAUUAGCUAGUUGGUAAGGUAAUGGCUUACCAAGGCGACGAUGCGUAGCCGACCUGAGAGGGUGAUCGGCCACAUUGGGACUGAGACACGGCCCAGACUCCUACGGGAGGCAGCAGUGGGGAAUAUUGCACAAUGGGGGAAACCCUGAUGCAGCAACGCCGCGUGAGUGAUGAAGGUCUUCGGAUUGUAAAACUCUGUCUUUGGGGACGAUAAUGACGGUACCCAAGGAGGAAGCCACGGCUAACUACGUG